rnacentral:piRNA from 1 species
UUUCCAGGAGAAGGAAAUGUAGAGC